GGAUGACGGAGUUUGAAUUUCAUCAAAAUCCAAAAAAAAAAUUGGUACAAAUUAUUAGCGAGGAACAUUAUCUUUAUCUGGAAUUUGAAUUUCCCUUGUUGAAAAUUUUCAAAACACCCCUGAAAAAUUCAUCCCACAUCGAUUGAGCUUAACGAGGGGACCCCCAAAUUGUUUCUAUAUAAAUCUCCUAUUAGAGGCAAAAUGGGAGGUCUGGGAGGUUUAAAAAAUCUUUUGAGCAAAACUUUCAUUUUCCUAGUUAAAAUUUUUCGUAAAAAUCGUCGGAGUUCUCGGAGUCGCGGUGAAGCCUUCCGGUGGUGAUCGAGAUUCCGUUAGUAGCUCGAGUCUCAUUUUGAUGCCUUGAAAUAGGUAAAUACAUCUUUUCUUUUUUAGCUUCAUUAUCAUUUUUUUCUUCAUCCCUUUCAUCGUAGUUUCAUAAUCGUAGUUACUGGGACUGUUUGUUGUAGAAAGCUUCGGGGGCUAUAGGCUUUUUGUGAUUAUUAUGUUAUUUUCGUUGAGUCAAUAUUCUCGACAUAGUUGUUUGGUUUACUGUUUAGUUUCGUAGUCGUUGGUUUAACUUUAUGUUCAUCUGUGGUUUCAUUAUCCAUAUUAACGUCAUAUAUUUGUGAUUGAGCGACCCAUUUUCAGGUUGUUAAAUAGGGAACUGGUGUUUAUGUUUGAAUUGGGCUCAUACUUAUUCCAUGGAGAAUUGUCGUUUUUAGUUUGUUAAAUAGGAAUUUGGUGUUUAUCUGUGAAUUGGGUUCAUACUUGCUCCAUAAAGAAAUAGCAUUUUCAGUUUGUUAAAUAGAGAAUCGAUGUUUCUAGUUUGUUAACCUCAUUAUCACGAUACGUCCAUAGCAUUAUGUUUUUGUUUGGAGUGUAAAUUUGUGAAUGUGAAUUUGGUGCUCAUUUCCCUUUUAGCAGCCUCAUUUUUUUUUUUUAAAUAUCAAUCUUUUCCUCAUAAAAAAUUUAUCGUAAUUGAUUUUAUUGGGUAUUAUGUUCUUUGUCAUGUCUCAAAUAAAAUUUAAAGUUAAUUAGUACUUUAGUGAUGUUUGAUGAAAUAGUUAAAAGAGGUUCGUUCAAGUUAGAUUUUUAAACCAUAGAGUCCACGUUAUUUACCUAAUAUGUCUAUUAUUUGCAAAUUGUUCUUAAUUAUUUUAUUACUGUCUCAACACUUGUAUUAGGAGCUUAAUAAUAUGUCUGAUUCUCACCCUUGCCGUGAAUCUCAUUAUUCGAACUACAUCCUUCGAUUUGAUUUCUCAUAGAGCUUUAGUCAAUUUUCGUCAAAGAUGCAUUGGUUUGCUUAGUUCAAUUUCAUUUGAAUAAAAGUACUUGACUUAGCUUUUGCAUAGUAAUAAUGGGUGCCACUACUUCAGAAAUCAGUAGCUUGAAAUUAAUCCAAAAAUUUAUUCAAGCAUAGAACUUUGCCUUCCUUUAUACCUUGAAUGAUGUCUUUGAUCUCAUGUAAAUCGAUCAUGGUUUUGAGAAUUUGACUUCCUCUUUGCUUUCAUACUUUUAUGUGUUAGCAUUUAUCUCGAGUUGGUUAGAAAUGUUUAAUUUUUUUUGCCUUUACUUUGAAUCUGCUUCUAUGCUCUGAGAAAUUAUUUUUCUUUUAUUUAUGUGAAAGUUUGAGAAUCUUUGAAAUUUAUUAGGCCAUAUUGGUUUAUUCCUUUCAAAUUGCAUAUGCAUUCUAUAUGCAAGAACGAUUGCGUCUUGUUUCAUCCCGAAUGAACUUUUAUGAGUUCUUUUGUAAUUUCAAUUGUAUUAACCUAUUACAAGAGUUUGAAACAAUCGCAUCUUGAUUCUUAGAAAUUGAAGUCUUUAUUUCUCAUCUCUUAGAAAUUAUAGUCUUAUGUCUUCUUUGGGAUGUGUAAAAAUUUUAAUUUUCUAGAUUAUGAUUGACCUUAAGUAUGUUUUAUUUUUGAUAAUUGGGUGCAUUUAGCCUAUAAGCUUGACUGUUAAAUGAGUAUUUGCCUGUUGAAUAUAUUCUAAUCCUUCUUCUUUUCUUUCUUGUUUUGACAUGCAAAUUGCCGAGUCUAAAAUGGACUCUUUCCAUGUGCAUUUCAAUAAUGGGCUAUCGUGGUUCAUUUCUCUUCCGAGUCGUCCCCUCGAGUCUAUCAAGUGAGAUUGAUUUUUAGACAAAGAAGUUGUUGUCGAUGGAAGAAAGGAGCCGAAACCUAUCAUUGAAGUUGCCAAGAGACUUUACAAAAUCUUCUUUGUUUAUUAUUGCUUUAUUUGUUUGUUAUUCGUUUAGUUGCUUAGUUAUUCAUUCAUUUUGGGCCUCGAAGCUCAAGUUGUAAAUUAAUAAAGGUGAAAUUGAUUUUGGGCCAAAGGGUCCUAAAAGAUAGUUUAGGAUAGGUUAUGAGACAAAAGCCCAAUGUUUAGAUUAAGACAGGUAAAUAUGGGCUAAAAAUCCAAUUGAAUAGUCUAGGACAGGUGCUGGUGGGUUUGAGCCUAAAUACCUAAAUCUCGUAAUUUUUUCUCUACCCUCUUUCUAUGCUUAUUUGCUAUUUAUUUUCUUAGAAUUGAUUAAAUUUCCUACUAAGCCGUCAAAAAUUGAUUUUAUACAAGUUUUAUCCUAAAUCACUUUCUUUUUAAAAACCAAUUUCUCUUUUUCCAAAGUUAGUCAAAGUGGUUUUCAAAUAGUCUAGGUAACCGCAAGUUAGCGGACAUUUUAGGUGACUUAAAAACCUUUCUAAAAUAUUAAUAAGAACCUUUUACCCGAGAUUUUCUUAAAAGCAUGUCUUUUUCUGUUUUUAGACUUAGGAUUUUAUUUUAAAAAUUUUUCUUAAUUUCUUUUCAAAUAAAUUAAGUGACGACUCUGUAAUUUCUUAAAAUGCUUUAAAAUUUUCUUUAAAGUUUCGAAAUAGUUUAAAACGUCAACACCAAUAUUUUUCAAUCCUUCGAAACCGAAAAAGGGCAAAACAGUAGCUACAUGGUGUAAUUAUUUAGAUUAUAUGAUGAAUUGAAAGGUGCAUUCAAUAUUUUUUAGACACAAUAUUUAAGACUUGUUUCUGUAUCUUUCUUUUGUGAAUUAAAGAAUCAAAGUGGUCAUAUUAGUGAUUAUCUUUAUCCAGAGUAUAUUAAAAUAAUUACUUGGCCAGUUUAUAGUUGGUUAGAUUAAUUUAUCAAAUCUUCAGGGGAUCCUAACUAUAAACUUUCAAGUAGGAAUCGGUAUGGAUCAUUAAUUUCUUUUUUCUUCACAUUCUAUUUCUUAUCUUAGCUACAUAAUAAUGUCAUUGCGAAAUCCUCAAUCUAUACAAUAUAGAAAUUUGUGUCUGUUCAAAGAAUGUCAUUGCAAAAUCCUCAAUAUAUACAAAUGUAGGAAUUUGUGUCUGUUCAAAGAAUAUUAUUUUGUAUUUAAAAAAAAAAGACUAUUAACAAGUGAAGCUUUGUGGAAUAACGAAGGAUUGUCCGCAAUUUUAUCUUCUUUUCUAAUGAUGGAUAGCAAUGAUGCAUUUGUACAGGUUUUAUGCUUUUUGACCAAUACUUUCCAAUUUUAAAUUCAAGCAAUUCACAAGAUCUAUAAUAAUGCAUGUGUACAGGUUUAACCGGAGCUAAUUGGACUCAAAUUUACAGAAGAUGACUAGUGAAGUUGGUUAACUGCAGACUUUCCUUCCUUCUACAUCGUUAUUUACUAUGCACUUCUAAUGUUUGCCUUUCUUCCUAUAACAGAUACCCAACUGAAAUAUGUGUUUGCCAAUUGUAGUUGCUAAAAUUCAGAUUUCACCCAAUUAUAGCAUAGCUCAUGCACACAUUGGAACAAUAACUACAUGAACAAUUUCAUUAUUUGUCUUUUAGCAAGUUUGAAAAUGCAACUGUAUAAUUUUGUUCCACAAAUGAAUAUAUAUAGU
rnacentral:lncRNA from 1 species